rnacentral:misc_RNA from 1 species
UUAAGUUCAGCGGGUAUUCCUACCUGAUCCGAGGUCAACCAUAGAAGUGGGGGUUUUACGGCGUGGCCGCUGCCGCUUUCCAGCUGCGAGGUAUCGCUACUACGCAGAGGAGGUCGCCGCAGGGCCGCCACUGUAUUUCGGGGCCGGCCGCCGUGGGUCGGCGGACGGGUCCCCAACACCGGUUCCCCGAAGGGUCCCGG